rnacentral:tRNA from 1 species
UCCCUGAUGGCUCAGCUGGUAAAGCAUCUGCCUGCAAUGCAGAAGACCUGGGUUCAAUCCCUGGGUUGGGAA